GACGACGCAACGCCGUUCGCGGCUUAUUAGUCUUUCGCAGUACGUGUAGGUAAUUAUGCAGUUCAUAUUUGAAAAUUGAACUUUAAAAACAGAAUAUUUAAAUUAUUCCUGACGUUUCGCGACAUUUCUUGUCCGAUGCGAAAUCAUUUCACUUUCAGUUCAAAAGCAAACCUCAAACCAUACCGACAAUAGAAAUCUUCUGGGACCAGUUCAAUACCGAAAUUUCACUCCAGUCUUCAGGAUCUAAAACAACCAAGCCUUCAAGAGCCAAGAUGCCUUGCCACCCGUGUCACAGGCCAUGCGCGCCUUGCUAUAGGCCUUGCGCGCCGUUCUACACGUCGUGCUGUACUCCGUGCCACGGCUGCUACUAUCGCUGCCGUUAGAUGCGGUAGUAAAGUGAUCAGUGAGCCGCCAUACCCGAAUAAGAACUGCGAUGGGCGUUUGAAGUCACGCUGUCUCCGUUCCCGAGCGACGCUCCUCUGACGAGUAUGGACGUAGAGCGCGCGUUGAGCUUCGCUCCGCGUCGUGGCACCGCGGCCUUCAAGAGCUCUGGAGGCUGUUCGCUGUCGUGGUUCGGAUGUUGGGGAAUGUCGGCGACCGGCCGCUUAAUAUUGUAACUCGCUGUUCGAACGGUGUUUUUCGUUUUCCGUGUUAAAUAUACGCUAAUAAAAA